rnacentral:rRNA from 1 species
AUUGAACGCUGGCGGCAGGCCUAACACAUGCAAGUCGAGCGGAUGAAGGGAGCUUGCUCCUGGAUUCAGCGGCGGACGGGUGAGUAAUGCCUAGGAAUCUGCCUGGUAGUGGGGGAUAACGUCCGGAAACGGGCGCUAAUACCGCAUACGUCCUGAGGGAGAAAGUGGGGGAUCUUCGGACCUCACGCUAUCAGAUGAGCCUAGGUCGGAUUAGCUAGUUGGUGGGGUAAAGGCCUACCAGGCGACGAUCCGUAACUGGUCUGAGAGGAUGAUCAGUCACACUGGAACUGAGACACGGUCCAGACUCCUACGGGAGGCAGCAGUGGGGAAUAUUGGACAAUGGGCGAAAGCCUGAUCCAGCCAUGCCGCGUGUGUGAAGAAGGCCUUCGGAUUGUAAAGCACUUUAAGUUGGGAGGAAGGGCAGUAAGUUAAUACCUUGCUGUUUUGACGUUACCAACAGAAUAAGCACCGGCUAACUUCGUG